GGUCAUCAGUGUCUUUGAUUUUAAUGACAGACAGAACGUUUAUUGAAAAGACAUUGAUAGAGGCAAUAGUUGAGAGCAACAUAAAACAAACCCGCCAUUGCCGUCUCCUUGAACCGCCUGGAGCUGUUUGCCGACUGAAGACCGAAAUAGAAUUAAUGAAGAAUCUCGUUCGUCUUCCAAGACUCAACCGGCAUGGCGUUAUGCAAUGGGCGCGUGCCGAAGAGGCGCGGGCCUGAACCUGAGCCCGACGCAAUGAGACUUCAGACCAGACUGGCUUCAGUGACACACUUGGAUCCAACAGAGACAUUGGAACAAGCUGCCCUUUCCCCUUCAUUUCUCCUCCGCUCUCCCUGUCGCUCCGGCAGUCGUCUCACCGAAUAACGGAGCGGCUGUCACCCCCCCUUGUGCGACAGGUGUGUGCG